AUGAAAAAAGAGCAUGGAAUCUCUUGAGGGAACUAUUGAUGAAUUCUUGCAAAGUCAACACACCCAGGUCCAGAUCACCCAGGUCAAGAAAUGGAAUGUUACCAACACCCAGUGCUCUGUCCUCGCGCCUCACUUCUGCUUCCUCCUUCCUCCUGAAAGGGACCACCAGAAUGACAAGAAAGGAAACCAUAUACUUGCUGGACUUCCUACUCAGUUUUAAACAAUAUCAGAAAAGAUGAAGCAUCCCUGGGGCUUCUGAGUGGUGUGUGACAGGAUUCAGGCUGCGACCUUGAUCGGCCAUGGGAACCACACACGUGGGACAAACCAGGAGCUAACAGAACCUUGGAAUUCGCUGGAGAGCUGCUGAUCUCUUGGCCUACAUGGGCCUCUGAAGCAAGGCUCUCACCUUCUGCCAGUUAACAUUUCCCAGGGAAGGGAAUGCCACGCGAAGUGACACAAGAGAGCCUUACCCAAGAACUGUGCCUAAAAUGAGACUCAAAACAUACUUCAUUACAUAUACAAAUCUCUGACAGCUCUGGACAGAAGUGCUAGCCUCAGAUAUUUUCAACUAAGAGAAAAUGGCAUUUUCCUCCUCAAACAGGAACCAUGACAUGCUCGGUUUGAUGAAAGUGGGUGAUUUUUUUUUUCCUUCCCUUUUCCAUGAAUGCAAGCUUCAUAAUAUUUCUUAGCCAGAAGCAAAUAAAUAACUCCUGCCCAAGGGGAACCCCUCAGACAGAAGAGAGAGCCAAGAACUCCCCAUCAUCUUAGUGGAUAGAGUAUGGGUCCUGACUUUUCUCAUGGCUCUUGACUUGGAAACCAGGCUCCAGAAUGACCCCUCGGACAUCGACAACUCCUGACAGAAGAAUCUGACUCCAUGAUGGAAGUAUGAGGUGUCAUAGAGCAACGUUUGCAUUAUCCCCAUGUUCUGUCAAAUACAGCUCCCUAAGAGCUGGCUCCCACCCCACCCCCAGUCAACAUGGCUCCUUAUCCCAGUCACACACAGACAGCAGCGGUGUGAAUGCGGAGAGGAUGGCAUUGGCACUACUGCCACCACGACCUUACUGCUGAGACUUAGGCAGUAUGGACGCCAUGUUUGUGUUCUCCCCAGAUUCACAUGGAAGAACUCUGUUCCCAAGGCAAUGGUCCUAGGAGCCAGGGGGAGGUGAUCAGUGCCAUUAUAAAGAAAAGGCCCCAGCACUGCCCUGUCCCAUCUGCCACAUGAAGACACAGUGAGAAGGAGCCAUCUGUGAGAAGGCCGCCCUCACCAGACACUGAAUCUGUAGACACCUUGAUCUGGGACUUUCCAGUCUCUAGGACCAAGAGAAAUACCUUUCUGUUGUUUGUAAGCCAUUUGGUCUAUGGUAUUUGUUACAGCAUCCCAAAUAUAUUAAGGCAAUGAAUAAUA